rnacentral:rRNA from 1 species
UACGUAGGGAGCAAGCGUUGUCCGGAAUCAUUGGGCGUAAAGCGCGCGUAGGUGGCCUCAUAAGUCCGCUGUGAAAGUCAAAGGCUCAACCUUUGAAAGCCGGUGGAUACUGUGAGGCUAGAGUACGGAAGAGGCGAGUGGAAUUCCUGGUGUAGCGGUGGAAUGCGCAGAUAUCAGGAGGAACACCAAUAGCGAAGGCAGCUCGCUGGGACGGUACUGACGCUGAGACGCGAAAGCGUGGGGAGCGAACAGG